CCGCUGCUUGAUAUAUCCUUCAAACGUCCACGGUGUAAGACCAAUCUAACAAUCAAAGGUGGAGUCAACAAAAGUCACCGUGUUUUGAGCAACAGCAGACCUGAAGCUUGCGGUUGAGGUAGACGGACUUGAAGCCCUGGUUGAAGAGCUUGAAUGCGGUCAUGGUGUCUUCUGUGAUUGACAUUGGCUGGAAGCCUCCAAUCUCGUCCAGAUGUUUCCUUCGGAAGAUUGCUCCAGUUCCAACGCAGGGUGCGGCCCCAAAUGUGUCCCUGUGAAUCAUGACACGCUCGUAGCCAAAUCCGCAAGCAUCAUUUAGAGGGUCUCCCACUGGCAGGUUAUAAAACGAUUGAGGGAUUUGCACGAAUGACACUUUGGGGUCCUUCACUAUGUGAGGGAGCAAAGUCUUCAAGAAUGAGGGGUGAAGUAUCAUGUCUGCGUCCAUCAUCACCACGAACUCCGCGUCGGAAUGCUCCAGGCCGUAGUUAAGGUUACCGCAUUUGAAGUUGUGUGGGACACCUGGAAUCUGGAAGACUGGAACAGUGAGAUCAUGAGCACGCACUGGGAAGGGAAUAACGACUAUUGUAAGCUACCUUCUUUCGACGAAGAUAUUUGACACAAGCACUCUCCAAUUCUUCACAGUAUCUUUUUAGCUCAUCGUCCCCUCCAUCAUCAAGGACCAAAACUCGAAACUGGUGCUUGGGAUAAUCCAUGGCCAGGGCAGCCUGAAUGGAAUCCUCGGGAACGUCAGUGGGCUCUUUACAGCAGGGAAGAAAUAUGUCAACCGUCGGAAGCUCUUCCCAAUUCAACGAUAAACUCUGACGGGGCCGCCAUAUUCGAGGCGGUAACACCAGAUCCGCAGCCGAAAUAACGCUGCUCGCAAAGUAUAUCACCUCGCAAGUCGUCAAAACUAUCAGCCACGGCCUUCUCGCGAGCUCUCCGGGAUGUUUAGAGUAAACAUAGAUCCUAUAAACGAGGUAAUUCGCAAAUGCAGCUAUGUGUGCACAGACAAGGAUGCAGAUAAUAGUGUGCCAGAUUAGCUUCCCCCAAUGUGGUGUCGGUAUUGGAUGAAGAGAAGACGAAUUGGAUGAAGAUGGAGAAGAAGAAUCAUGGGAAUCGCUUGGAUCACUAAGAUCACUUGGUGGUGUCUCCUGCUGCUGCUGCUGCAACUCAAGAUCUUUAAUGCUAGACAUGCUACUAUCUUAAUGAGUUUCCUUCGUUCCAGAGAAUUUAUUCGUGAGCAUAAUUUACUUUUCGUACAGCUGCAUUUGUGUAUGGUUGGUUGCUGUCUUGCAAAUUGUGUCUUGAUUCGUGUAAAGUUCCACUGAGAAGAGUUAUUUCGUAAGCAUGUUAAGAACUGCAAGCGAAAACAAAUAUCAUGUGUAAAAGUUAGCUAAAUAUUCCGGUUUACAUUGGUGGUGUACCAUAUGACGCCGACCAAAUCAGAAUUGUCCACAAACUGCCUUCGAAUCUAAAUGUGUUUUUGCGAAUCAAGUAGCGUGUCCAAUUCUGCUUCUUUCUGCUACCGACAACUUGUCAUCGUCUUGCAUUACAAGUUUGACUGUGAUAGCAGGGACAAAGGUUAAUAUUCAAGACCACCACACUCACUGCGAGUCUGAUGCCUCCUUUCACGAAACUUAUAUGCAUCCCAAUGUUGACCACUAGCAAUCCUCAAGAGAUUUCUAGGACAGAAAAGAGAAUUCAAACUACAAAAGAAGAAGGCACAAAGCAACUUUGGCUAUACGUUUUUUCUCAGAGAUCGUUUGCCACUUUACUAAACAAAGAAGUGGCAUGUACAACGAAUGUUGAUUGACUAUAUAGCACCUGCCUUACACCAGCGUCGAUCCGAUUUGGUGACGAUUAUAACAAGUGCCGCCACCCAGAAGAUACUCGUAGCAACGUUAGAUAUCCCCUCGUAAAAGAUUAUUGACCAGUGCCACUUUGGGAGAUAGUCUCCCUCCAAAAAUUGUGGAACUCCUUCCUUGUAGUGAAGCAGUGACUUGCGUUCCCCAGGCUUGUAGCUUUGUGGACACAAGAUGUACAUAAUUGGUAUGAGCAUGUGUGCACAGGUGGAAAGUAGAAAAAACGAUAUGGCGAUCACGUAGAAAUCAUUCUGGCAGUUUUUGCCACCUUGCUCGGCUAUCCAAUAAAUCCUGUAGCCAACCACACCCAAAACCAGGAAUAUGUAGAUAAUGUGCACCCUUACGUGCUUGAGUUUGACAAGGAACUUUGAUCACCGCUGGUUGCUUCUUGAGCUUGGCUUGUGCUGCAGCACGGUCAAUGUUGCUUGUUGGAGUGAAUAUAAAGGUGGAAGAGUUUGAAAAGAUUGACUUGUAUAUCGUUUUGAAGAAGUAAGGGGUCAUCCACUAGAAAUGUGACUCGUCCCAGUUGCAACUUUGGAUUGGCUGGGGAAGACUGAGCCAUACCGCGAACCAAGACAGGUGCCAGUAGAUAAGAAGAGCUGAGAGAUUUAUAAGAAUGCGUCGGCUAUUGUGAAAGGUGCCAACAAUGAGGUCCAAGUUCAAGGCAAGGAGAACUAUGAAGAGCAAGACCAUUACAAUGUUGAAAAUUGAGAUGAAGUAGUAUACAGUGUGCCAGAAGUAGCACACCUUGAGUAGAAAUGAAAGCCUGCUCUUUGGCCCAAGCAUCUCUCUCCAUGUCGCAGAGAAUUGCUGUAUAGCUCCCUGGCACCACUGCCGCCGCUGCUUGAUAUAUCCUUCAAACGUCCACGGUGUAAGACCAAUCUAACAAUCAAAGGUGGAGUCAACAAAAGUCACCGUGUUUUGAGCAACAAGCUUGCGGUUGAGGUAGACGGACUUGAAGCCCUGGUUGAAGAGCUUGAAUGCGGUCAAGGUGUCUUCUGUGAUUGACAUUGGCUGGAAGCCUCCAAUCUCGUCCAGAUGUUUCCUUCGGAAGAUUGCUCCAGUUCCAACGCACGGUGC
rnacentral:lncRNA from 1 species